UUUAUAGUCAGAAGUACUCAGUGCUCUCUGGACAUCCAACACUGGUCAUGCGGAAAAGUGUGGCCUGGUUUUUUUUGGCUGUUACAGUUACAAAGAAAAAUUAGUAGAUCCAACUUCAUCCCUGAAUACUUAUGCUAUCCAGAUUCUUCGUCACAUCUGUGAAAACCUGAAAAAGCUGAAAGUAUUGAUUAACCAUUAUGGAUUCAUCUCAGAGCAAAAGGACAGGCAUUAGAUGUGAGAGUCUUGGAUUCAUUUUUGGCUGUGCAUAUUUUUCCCUAGAGGCAUUUAUGGCGGGAAAUAAGAAGUCACGAAACACAGCUGAUUUGAAGAGAGAGGCAGCUGACUUAGGAAGAAGGCAGAAGAAUUUUCUGCUGGUAGGCAAGACAGUGGAAAUUAUCUGAAUGUAACAAUAAGAUAAAAGAUGGCACACAUGCAAGAACAGAUUUCUUAAAAACCACCAGCUAAAGUUUGUGUUGUUUCAUUCUCUUAUUCUCCAAGACAGCCAUAUUUUACCAUGUUAUACAUAAAUAAAAAUGACUUCCAGGCUUAUUUGAUUGUAGACUGAAUUACUCUGUCACAGGGUGACAAGCAAUGACAAAGAGGUUCCCCAUAAUGAAAGUCUAGCAGACCCCAUAUUCUAACAAAAGGUGGUACAGAAAAACCAGGCAGAUUUUCCCUUCACUCAUACUCUCUUACAUAUGAGCUAUAUAGUACUGUCAAUCUCUGUCAUGUCAAUAGGUCACUUGCAAGGUCUUAUAUUUGGCAGGGCAACAUAAGUUUCACAGUAAUUUUUCUGACUAGCCACCCAAAGCGUCUAUAGAAAGAUUUGAAAGAUCAAUUAAAUUACAGGAAAGGCAUAACAUAAAUGUUGCC
rnacentral:lncRNA from 1 species